rnacentral:rRNA from 1 species
GAUGAACGCUGGCGGCGUGCCUAAUACAUGCAAGUCGAGCGAACGGACGAGAAGCUUGCUUCUCUGAUGUUAGCGGCGGACGGGUGGGUAACACGUGGAUAACCUACCUAUAAGACUGGGAUAACUUCGGGAAACCGGAGCUAAUACCGGAUAAUAUUUUGAACCGCAUGGUUCAAAAGUGAAAGACGGUCUUGCUGUCACUUAUAGAUGGAUCCGCGCUGCAUUAGCUAGUUGGUAAGGUAACGGCUUACCAAGGCAACGAUGCAUAGCCGACCUGAGAGGGUGAUCGGCCACACUGGAACUGAGACACGGUCCAGACUCCUACGGGAGGCAGCAGUAGGGAAUCUUCCGCAAUGGGCGAAAACCUGACGGAGCAACGCCGCGUGAGUGAUGAAGGUCUUCGGAUCGUAAAACUCUGUUAUUAGGGAAGAACAUAUGUGUAAGUAACUGUGCACAUCUUGACGGUACCUAAUCAGAAAGCCACGGCUAACUACGUGCCAGCAGCCGCGGUAAUACGUAGGUGGCAAGCGUUAUCCGGAAUUAUUGGGCGUAAAGCGCGCGUAGGCGGUUUUUUAAGUCUGAUGUGAAAGCCCACGGCUCAACCGUGGAGGGUCAUUGGAAACUGGAAAACUUGAGUGCAGAAGAGGAAAGUGGAAUUCCACGUGUAGCGGUGAAAUGCGCAGAGAUAUGGAGGAACACCAGUGGCGAAGGCGACUUUCUGGUCUGUAACUGACGCUGAUGUGCGAAAGCGUGGGGAUCAAACAGGAUUAGAUACCCUGGUAGUCCACGCCGUAAACGAUGAGUGCUAAGUGUUAGGGGGUUUCCGCCCCUUAGUGCUGCAGCUAACGCAUUAAGCACUCCGCCUGGGGAGUACGACCGCAAGGUUGAAACUCAAAGGAAUUGACGGGGACCCGCACAAGCGGUGGAGCAUGUGGUUUAAUUCGAAGCAACGCGAAGAACCUUACCAAAUCUUGACAUCCUUUGACAACUCUAGAGAUAGAGCCUUCCCCUUCGGGGGACAAAGUGACAGGUGGUGCAUGGUUGUCGUCAGCUCGUGUCGUGAGAUGUUGGGUUAAGUCCCGCAACGAGCGCAACCCUUAAGCUUAGUUGCCAUCAUUAAGUUGGGCACUCUAAGUUGACUGCCGGUGACAAACCGGAGGAAGGUGGGGAUGACGUCAAAUCAUCAUGCCCCUUAUGAUUUGGGCUACACACGUGCUACAAUGGACAAUACAAAGGGCAGCGAAACCGCGAGGUCAAGCAAAUCCCAUAAAGUUGUUCUCAGUUCGGAUUGUAGUCUGCAACUCGACUACAUGAAGCUGGAAUCGCUAGUAAUCGUAGAUCAGCAUGCUACGGUGAAUACGUUCCCGGGUCU